rnacentral:rRNA from 1 species
GACGAACCGAGCGAACGUUAUUCGGAAUCACUGGGCUUAAAGGGCGCGUAGGCGGGCGAUCAAGUCAGGGGUGAAAGCCCCAGCUCAACUGGGGAAGUGCCUCUGAUACUGGUCAUCUCGAGGGAGGUAGGGGCGUGCGGAACUUCCGGUGGAGCGGUGAAAUGCGUAGAUAUCGGAAGGAACGUCGGUGGCGAAAGCGGCGCGCUGGACCUCUUCUGACGCUGAGGCGCGAAAGCCAGGGGAGCAACGGG